rnacentral:ncRNA from 2 species
UGGAUCUCAACGGGGUGUUCCUUAAACAUAAUCGACCGCGCAGGCGGCCGGGUUUUUAAGGAGCUGAGAGGUGCGGCUUGGCACGACCCGUCGAACCUGAUCCGGCUCAUACCGGCGAAGGGAUUUGAGAUGCGCCAGCCC